rnacentral:rRNA from 1 species
GCAUAUCAAUAAGCGGAGGAAAAGAAAAUAACAAUGAUUCCCCUAGUAACUGCGAGUGAAGAGGGACAAGCUCAAAUUUUAAAUCCGUCGGGUUUUACCUGACCGAGUUGUAAUUUGAAGAGGCGUUUUCCGCGUUUUUGAUCAGUCCAAGUCCUUUGGGAUAGGGCAUCAUGGAGGGUGAGAAUCCCGUUCGGCUGAUCAGAUUCGCUUUACGAUACGUCAUCUAAGAGUCAAGUUGUUUGGGAAUGCAGCUUAAAAUGGGAGGUAAAUUUCUCCUAAGGCUAAAUAACGGCGAGAGACCGAUAGCGAACAAGUACCGUGAGGGAAAGAUGAAAAGAACUUUGAAAAGAGAGUUAAACAGUACGUGAAAUUGUUGAAAGGGAAACGAUUGAAGCCAGUCGUACCGGUGGGUAAUCAGCCUUUCGGCGUGAUUAUGUGGAACGUGAGGAGUUAAACGCCCUCAUGCCUGCAUAUUCGUGUUCUUUGGGUGUACUUACCCGCAUGGUAGGUUAACAUCAAUUUCGAACGUCAUAAAAUGGUUGGAGGAAUGUAGCUUCGAUCUCGUAUUGAAGUGUUAUAGACUCCGGCAGAUGUGAUGAUCGGGAUUGAGGAUUGCAACGGAUACCCUUCGGGGCUACCCGUCUGAUCUCUGAAAGUUGCUCUGGUGCCGAAAGCUCGCUUACGGUUAUCAAAGUUGACGUUCAACAGGUUAGAACGGGAUAAAUUCGUUAAGGAUGUUGACGUAAUGGCUUUAAACGAC